AGUGAACCUAAGCUGUAAAACUGGAGCUCGGCCAUAAAUUUGGGCCUCAGAUGUUAAACUGGGGCUCAGCCAUGAACUUGGGACCGCAGAUUAAAAAAAAUGGGGCCCAGCGGUAAAAUCAGAACCUAAGACGUAAAACAGGGGCUCAGUCGUAAAAAUAGAGGCCUCAGACGUAAAACUGGGGCCCACAGACGUAAAUUGCGGCUCAGCCGUAAAUCUGAAGCCCCAGAUGCAAAACCAGAUCUUCAGAUACAACUGGGGCCUCAGAGGUGAAUCAGAGAUGCAGGCACGUGUCAGUCUCAGGCGGAGUAUCUGGCGACCUGGGAAGGGAGGGCAGCGCAGGAUGUGCCAUUCUGUGACCGGAGGGAACGUGGGCCCCGAGUGUUCCUCAGACCAUAUUCCUUCCCCUCUGAGCUCGCCAGCAGCAGACCCCUUCCAGGUCCCCAACACCGCAGCACCAGCCGGGUGGUCCCAAGGAUUUGGAUGCCCAUGGCUUUGGGGAGUUAUCACUCACUCCACCUAGCACAAAGGCAAGGGAGGAGUAUGGGGACAGUGCCUGCAGACCUUGUAUGUGGAGGCUGUAAAUAAUGAAUUACAGGUACGGACUGGUGGUCAAAAUUAAAAUGUAAAAGUGGAGGAAGUCAGAGAGAACAGGUGAAUCACGUGGAGCAGGAGAAAGACACUCAAACUGUACUUCCCAUGUGGUCAGAUUGGUCAGCGCAGAGAGGCUGAGGUGCAGUGUAGAUACUGGAAAGCUUGGCUGCUAGUCUGUAUGCAGAAUGUUUUGCUAGUUCGCAUUCCCAUGUGCAUCCUUCCCACGUACAUUUGGGGGUCAUAGCAGCCUCUGUGUACUUGCCUUUCCUGGGGAAAUGGGGUCUGGAGGACAUGUCCUGGGGGAUGGAGCUAGGACUCAGGGGUGAUUCUCUUGCAACAGUGCUUGUCUGGAAGCACUGAGUUCAUCAACAGGGGUAACAUUUCUUUAGGGUAAUAACCCCUCCUAUGUGGUUCCACCCCACGUUCUAGUCUGUAAUUUUUUUCUUUAAUGUAAGUUUCUCAUAUGAUUCAGUGAGAGGUACUUACAUGCUGCUCUGACUUUUCUGUCUCCUCCAGCAAGGGGACCCUGAGCUUCUUCGGGAGGUGACUCAUGUACAGGGGGACAGCUGCACCUGUUCUGCAUGCAUGUCCAGCACGGUUAGUCUUUCAUUUGAAAGAAAAGAAGAGAUAGAGAGAGGCACAAAGAGAGACAGGGAGAUGGACAGAGAUACAGAGAGAGAGGUGGAGGGACCAGAGAUGCAGAGACAAAGACAGGGACAGAGUCAGGGACAGAGACAGGGAGGGACAGAGACAGAGUCAGGGACAGAGGUAGAGUCAGGGACAGGGCCUGUGCAGCGAGCCUUCCUAAACACCCAGGUGCCCCCUUUCCCUGCACUUGGGAACAUCCUUCUUCUUUCAGGUUUCAUGUAGUUUAAAUCCCAAAGGGAAAAACAAACUUAAAAAUAGCAUCUGGUAUAUGUGUAUAUAUACAUACA
rnacentral:lncRNA from 1 species